GACGAACGCUGGCGGCGUGCCUAAUACAUGCAAGUCGAACGCAGUGGGGACGGGUGAGUAACACGUGGGUAACCUCCCAUCAGAGGGGAUAACACUUGGAAACAGGUGCUAAACCGAUACUGAUGGAUGGACCCGCGGUGCAUUAGCUAGUUGGUGAGGUAAAGGCUCACCAAGGCCACGAUGCAUAGCCGGCCUGAGAGGGUGAUCAGCCACACUGGAACUGAGACACGGUCCAGACUCCUACGGGAGGCAGCAGUGGGGAAUAUUGGGCAAUGGACGAAAGUCUGACCGAGCAACGCCGCGUGAGUGAAGAAGGUCUUCGGAUCGUAAAGCUCUGUUGGUAGAGAAGCGGUAUCUAACCAGAAAGCCACGGCUAACUACGUGCCAGCAGCCGCGGUAAUAC
rnacentral:rRNA from 1 species